rnacentral:lncRNA from 1 species
AUGAUACUAGGAUGGGAAGGCAUGGAAGGGAGAACAGAGAUGCUUAAGACCAGCUCAUGGUACAGGUUUAUUACAGAAGAAAUGUCAUUGUCCUUGGCCAUGCCGUGUUCUGCAUCAAAUACCUUUGUGAACCACCACAAACCUGCGGUCUAUGCAACUGUCGCCAUGUUAAGGCUCAAGAAUAAACCGGCGUGGCUGAGAAGUGUUUUUGAUGAGUCUUGCAUCUCUGGCAUGAUUCAGAAUCUGAAUGGGACGAAUAUCAGCAGCGAGAUUGUAAUUUUGUUUCGAGAGCUCAUGCAAGCUCAGCUAUUGAACUCCGACCAAGUGACCAAGUUGAAUCUUGUAUUCCUGGUUAGUAACGCAGUUAAGGCUAAUAAUAAGUAUCAGUUACAGUUCAUAACUAUUUCGUUUGACAAUACCUCAGGCGAGUAGAAAACAAAUGCUGAGGAAUGGAACUCUAGAGGAGACAGUUGAAGAACAAAUGCAACGGACAGUUUCAUCAAUUCAUGAUCAUGGUGAAGUCUGUAGCUAUCUUGUUGAUUUGAUGGUAUCUAAUUCUUGUGGACACACAAGUGGUGGAAGCGAAACAACAUGUAGGCAGAAGAAGAAACAUGUACUCGUUGAAAUGGAACGAUUCUCCGAACUACUAUCAACAAGAAGAGAUAAAGUUACUGAUUCAAGGCCGUGUAAGGUCUAUGCAAGACAGAGAAAGAGGAUAAAUGCAAUAUGGGACAAAUCGUGAAGAACAGCAGAUCUCUAGUGUUUGUACAGGUUGAAUUGUGCAUACUUAAAGGUCCAGCUUUCUAAUUUUGUUAACCAAAUUUCCACUAUAUACUGGUAAGUUCUUGGUGUGGUUUCCACGUUUAUGAAUAUAUAGACAGUUAUAUGACAUCAGAAGGACUGUAAACAUUCGAACCUUUACAAAGAGAAACUAAUGAAUCCACCUUGAAUGGACACGAAGUUAGUAGUUAUCUUGUAAGAGAACCUCUUUCGGACAUAAUUAGGGUCAUAAUGCACUUUCGGAUAGUAUUAAAAAAAACAGCUUUAUUGGCAAGCAUAUCAACACACAACACCUUAGGUUUAUUUCCUCACGGGUAUUCCACUUCAUACAUUUUUUUUUUUUUGUAACACAAACUUCAUUAGCUAGAACUUAAAUCCCCAAAGGGUACAAAACAGAGUUUUCAGAAAACAGAGCAUGUUUUGCCAACACAUCGGCCUCACUGUUCCUGCUACGAGGAAUCCAAAUAAAAGAACAGAAUUUGAAAGAAACAGCACAAUGGAGGAUAUCCGCAACUAUUCCAUACAGUUCCGGAGGUGCCGACUGCAGCUUGAGCGCUGCUACCAGUUGAGUAGAGUCAGACUCGAAGAUAACCUGCUGGAUUCCCAACUCUUUACACUUCAUAAUCGCAGCUCGAAGGGCCAAGCCCUUAGCACUAAGCGGAGAUCUGACUGAUCUCGAUGCAGUUUCAAACUGAACCUUACUACCUGUAUGCUUCAUAACCCAGCCGAAUCCUGCUGUAUUCGAGUCACCCCUCCACGCCGCAUCGACCGCAACUACUGUAGUUCCUUCCGGUAGCCUCAGAGGAAGGGGUAUUGCCUUCUUACGUGGUGUCACCUUUUCCUGGGCCAGGAACCAUUCUCGGGCCAUAACCACCGCCUUGGUAAUAGUUUCUUCCGGGGUUGAUGUCUUGUUAUUGAAAAUCAGGUUGUUCCUGGCUAUCCAGAUCGCCCAUAAAAUCCAUGGGACCAAAGACCCAGCUUGUAGGCCGACUGGGGGAAGUGAGACUACUCUACAAAGGUCGGGCCACAACUCUGCCAAAUCUACCAAUCCUCUAAGGUCAAAGCCUGUGCUAAGCGGAGCCAACUCCCAAACCUUCUUAGCAAACCUGCAAUGAAGAAGAAGAUGAUUCGUAGAUUCAAUCUCAUUGCAUCUUUUGCAGUGUUGAUCAACGUUUAUAUGGCGUGCCACCAGUCUCUCUCCUACUGCUAGAGCUCCUUGAAAGAUCUUCCAUAGGAAGAGCUUAACCUUUGGCGCCACUGGUAGCCUCCACACAUCUCUAUGCCAGUUACUCAGAGUUGAGUUAGCAAACUGGCCAUCAUCACAUUCUUCCAGGGCGGCGUAGUAACCUGACUUAGUAGUGAAAGCGCCAGAUUUUGUCUUCAGCCAAACCAGCUUAUCCGGAGCCCCGGUAGUACUCGGUUUAAUGAGCUUGAUUCUCUCCUCUUCAAAGGGGAUCCAUCGUUGAAUAGCUUCGCUGUCCCAUUCCCGCGUGUUUGGCAGGAAAAGGUCUGACACUGUAAGGGAUAAGCUGUCUUCAUUUGCUGGUCCCAUUGGUCGCUCCUGUUGGGUGAGACUCAGCCAUGCAAUCUUACUGUCUCUUGGAGCUUUUCACUGGACUAUCACAACAGAUUGACAUUAGAAAAGAGCAACUACGGUGUUCACCGAGUUACCUGAAAGCAAUGAAGGCUGUACUAAGUGGUCUGGUAUUCUAUGAUGACAUAAGAGUAGCGACAAACUCUGCGCUUUGUCUGUCCAUGAUACUAGGAUGGGAAGGCAUGGAAGGGAGAACAGAGAUGCUUAAGACCAGCUCAUGGUACAGGUUUAUUACAGAAGAAAUGUCAUUGUCCUUGGCCAUGCCGUGUUCUGCAUCAAAUACCUUUGUGAACCACCACAAACCUGCGGUCUAUGCAACUGUCGCCAUGUUAAGGCUCAAGAAUAAACCGGCGUGGCUGAGAAGUGUUUUUGAUGAGUCUUGCAUCUCUGGCAUGAUUCAGAAUCUGAAUGGGACGAAUAUCAGCAGCGAGAUUGUAAUUUUGUU